GAUGAACGCUGGCGGCGUGCCUAAUACAUGCAAGUCGAGCGAACGGACGAGAAGCUUGCCUCUCUGAUGUUAGCGGCGGACGGGUGAGUAACACGUGGAUAACCUACCUAUAAGACUGGGAUAACUUCGGGAAACCGGAGCUAAUACCGGAUAAUAUUUUGAACCGCAUGGUUCAAAAGUGAAAGACGGUCUUGCUGUCACUUAUAGAUGGAUACGCGCUGCAUUAGCUAGUUGGUAAGGUAACGGCUUACCAAGGCAACGAUGCAUAGCCGACCUGAGAGGGUGAUCGGCCACACUGGAACUGAGACACGGUCCAGACUCCUACGGGAGGCAGCAGUAGGGAAUCUUCCGCAAUGGGCGAAAGCCUGACGGAGCAACGCCGCGUGAGUGAUGAAGGUCUUCGGAUCGUAAAACUCUGUUAUUAGGGAAGAACAUAUGUGUAAGUAACUGUGCACAUCUUGACGGUACCUAAUCAGAAAGCCACGGCUAACUACGUG
rnacentral:rRNA from 1 species